rnacentral:misc_RNA from 1 species
GAUGAAGAACGCAGCGAAAUGCGAUAAGUAAUGUGAAUUGCAGAAUUCAGUGAAUCAUCGAAUCUUUGAACGCACAUUGCGCCCCUUGGUAUUCCGAGGGGCAUGCCUGUUCGAGCGUCAUUUCAACCCUCAAGCACAGCUUGGUCUUGGGCUUCGCCGCUAACCCGGCGGGUCUUAAAAUCAGUGGCGGUGCCGUCCGGCUCUAAGCGUAGUAAAUCUCCUCGCUAUAGGGUUCCGGAGGGAUGCUGGCCAACAACCCCCAACUUUUAAGGUUGACCUCGGAUCAGGUAGGGAUACCCGCUGAACUUAAGCAUAUCAAUAAGCGGAGGA